AAAAAGACGUUCAGUAACAAGAAAAGGUGGAAGAUAGGAGUAAAAAUGUCAACACAUAAAAGCUAUAGGACUUUCUGCGUCAAUUACCCAUUUAAAUAUACUAACGCCACAUUCACACGUUCCUCCACCUCCUUCCGCCACCCGUCACUCUCUCCUAGCCUCCCCGUACCAAUUGCCGCGCCUCCAAUCCUACGCCCGGUCCCCCCCUCCGCCGUUGGUCCACAAUUAAGAAUCCAAGUUCGAGGGCCGAUGGCGAAAAAUGGAGCAACGGUGGUGCGGGUGGCAACAACCAUCACAAGCGAAAUCAGCAUAACGGCGAAGUGAAGAUUAACCAUAGUGGGUAAUGUUGUUUCUGGGAUUUUAUACAGGUGUGUUAAAUAUGACAAGAUCGUGAUUAAUCAGGAGUCACAGAAGGGACCCAGAGUGAUUGGGGAAGAGUGGAUAAAGCGGUUAUGCUGAUCACCGGUAUCAUCAUUAUAAGCAUGGUGGUCCACCAAAAAGGUUCAACUAUUCAAGAAAGUCAUUCUCAUGAUAAGAGAUUCUACAUUUUAAUUGGAACAAAGAGAGCAGAAUGAAUGGCAUGGAUGGAAGCAUUGCAGGCCGUUAAGGAUAUGUUCCCGCAAAUGUCCAACAGUGAGUCAAUGGAUCCAGUGGACAAUGUUUCUAUCUCCUGAAAAGUUGAGGCAGCGAUUGUUGGAAGAAAAUGUGAAUGAGGCUGCUUUCAGGACAGCAAGCAGAUCAUGAAGAAUGAAUUUGUCUCUGCUGAAUCAAUUGAUACUGUUGAAGUAGAAGCAUUGGCUCCUUGUUGAGUCGCUCCAACAGUUAGUGGUAUCUGUCAUGAAUAAGUCCUUACAAGUCAAAUUCAUGAUACUAGUUCGGUUUCUUCUCCAAGGAGAUGGGCCUGUUAAAGCGUUUCCAGAUUUCCCUAGAUUUGUAGCCGGGUAGGUUGGGACUGUUACUUGUUUCUUCUUGUGCUUUGGGAAGAGGCAGUAAAACAUUGAAUCUUUCCGCACUACUUUCUAUAGAUUUCUUGCAGAUAGUUACUUGACUUUUUCUUUUUGACUUGCUUUUCGUUGUUAUAGUGAGAUACUUGAAAGAACAUUGCUGUCAAGAGAAUCAAGAUAAGGAGUUCUUUUACAGAAUGUUAGUGUUACUAAUAUAUUCAAAUUCAUGUGUUGGAUGGAUAAUGAUUCUUGGGUUCUUUAUGCUGUAUAUUGCACCAAAAUAAAGUAAAUAAAAAUAAUGUUCUAUAUGUUCCAUUGCC